rnacentral:rRNA from 1 species
CGGGAGGGGAUUAGUGGCGAACGGGUGAGUAACACGUGGGCAAUCUGCCCUUCACUCUGGGACAAGCCCUGGAAACGGGGUCUAAUACCGGAUACGACCACCGACCGCAUGGUCUGGUGGUGGAAAGCUCCGGCGGUGAAGGAUGAGCCCGCGGCCUAUCAGCUUGUUGGUGGGGUGAUGGCCUACCAAGGCGACGACGGGUAGCCGGCCUGAGAGGGCGACCGGCCACACUGGGACUGAGACACGGCCCAGACUCCUACGGGAGGCAGCAGUGGGGAAUAUUGCACAAUGGGCGAAAGCCUGAUGCAGCGACGCCGCGUGAGGGAUGACGGCCUUCGGGUUGUAAACCUCUUUCAGCAGGGAAGAAGCGAAAGUGACGGUACCUGCAGAAGAAGCGCCGGCUAACUACGUGCCAGCAGCCGCGGUAAUACGUAGGGCGCAAGCGUUGUCCGGAAUUAUUGGGCGUAAAGAGCUCGUAGGCGGCUUGUCACGUCGGAUGUGAAAGCCCGGGGCUUAACCCCGGGUCUGCAUUCGAUACGGGAGGGCUAGAGUUCGGUAGGGGAGAUCGGAAUUCCUGGUGUAGCGGUGAAAUGCGCAGAUAUCAGGAGGAACACCGGUGGCGAAGGCGGAUCUCUGGGCCGAUACUGACGCUGAGGAGCGAAAGCGUGGGGAGCGAACAGGAUUAGAUACCCUGGUAGUCCACGCCGU